GGAAGAGUCCCUUCUCUUCAUCCUCCUUUAGCCACAUGAUGUCUGCUUUGGGGAUGUGAAGUUGUGAAUGGUACCCUAAUUCAAAACUGUAACGUCCACUUUUUUUGGACCCUUCCAUUGGGGUACCUAGCACAGUAGUCCGGUACUAAACGGUGGAGCUAGACUCACUGCAAAACAUUGAUUGGUUGACAGAGAAUCGUCACUUGCACAUGCUACAAGGGGAAUGACAACACAAGAGGCGCCAUUUUUUUAAUAAAGUUGAAACACAAUACCAUUUGUUCUUGUGACAAACGGCCACAUGUCGAGAAGCAAGAACUGCUGUUUGUCCUCCAUUGUUGUUUACAGUGUCAUUUUCUUCUUUGCACAAGAAUGACAUCGAUCACUACUUUCGCAUACACCACGCCUAACAAGUAAGGGUACUGUUGGCGGUGGAAACACAAGCCGGAUCAGAGUUUACCAUUUCGAAUCGUAGUGAACUGUACUGUCCUGUCCUGUACCGCUCGGUGGAAACGAGAUAUUAGACUUAAAUCGGUUACCUCAGGAUGUGCGGCUGCUGUUGCAGUGCCCAGACAUGGCUGAAGUGCUGCACCAGUCAUAUUAGCACUCGCCACACAUGCAGCCGUCUCAUCAGCAUCAGUCACAUCAGAUGCCCUCCCGUGUUCACCAUCAGGAGCUGAUACAGAAGCCUUAAAAAUGAUGUGUAUUAGUAAAAACGUUUUUCAUUUACCUAAGCAUACUUUUGUGUGGCCUCCCCAUUUAUGCUGCCCCACCAGGAACCAAGGGGAUGUAAUAGUUAAUUGCAAUGUAUAAACUAUGGACUUACAGCUGACAGUGGAGCAGUAGUAUCUGUGUAGGGCUUCUGUGGAGGAUCUGGAUGGGCCUCUUUUUCUAGAAACUUUUUUCUACCUCCUGCAUCCCCUGCUGCAAAAUGAGGACAAACACAGGAGGAUGCUUCCACCAGCAGAGUGUCAUCCGCCCAACCGGCAUCACCUUUGGACCCUGAUGAGCAGGAGCCCCAUCCUGUUGAGGUUUCUGUGAAGUACAGGCACUGCCACACAGAGCAGUAUGCCAUCUGCGCCAUUUUUCUCUCAUGGUCGGUCCCAGCUUGCGGGUCAGCUUGAAGGGUCUUGUACAGGCUGUACCACUGCCACAUCUCCAGGAAUGUGAACGACCUGAAGCAGCCUUGCCCAUAAAUGGCCCUGCCCACAUUAAUCUUGAGGUGGCAGAAGACAUGUGGAAGCAGCUGCACAUAUCGCAGCAGGAGAUCCUUCACCCAGUCGCCUUGGCUCGCUUUUCUGUCAGGAUGGCAGCAUUUUUUAUGUGGAGAUCAAGGAGACUAAAAUAUCACAUAAUUAGUUAAUGAAAAAACUAAUUAUGAAAAUUGAUUCUGUUAAGUGCAACAUACUUACUACUUAAUGUAGCGUCAACGUCAUUCUCCACCAGCCAUUUAAAACUUUGCCUGUUGUAUUUGCCAAGUUUAGAUAUAGCUGGCCAAGGUACUGCACCUCUGAUGGUGUUGAGGUAACGGCCCAACAUCUCUUUUUGGCUGAAGAAAUUGUAUUCCUCACACAGACCUUGCCCACAAGCCGUCCUUUUAUCUAGGACCGCGUUUUCUCGAAGCACUUGUUACGUGAAGCCAGUGACUUGGCUUCCUUAGAUGCCUUAUGAAGGCAUUGUUGCCUCUUUGGUGGCACACUUGUGUCCACAAUCUGUAAUUUGGCAACAGUGGGUCCAUGUUAAACCUGUAGGAAACAGUCUGUUAUAAUCAUCAUAAUGAUACACAGAGGGAAAAAAUAUUCCUACCAUGACAAAUGCAAGAGGUCGUGAUAAAGUUAGCAGUUAUACAGUGGGGGAUACCAAAGUGUGGUGAAAAUUUGAAAUAUUUAUUGAAAGAAAGAAAAAGGAACCCCAAAAUUAAAAAGAACUUUGAUCUGGGUUAAGUGUGCAUUGUUCCUGAGCGAUGUUGCUUGGGCUUUUUUUUUCUAUUGAGAAUGCGCAACAAAUUUAUAUCUGGAUACUUUAGAUCGAAAUUUGUUGCCCAUUCUCAAUGGGAAAGUGCCCAAGCAACAUCUGCAACACUGCUCAAAAAGUUGCCUCGUGUAUGAUCACCUUAAGACACUCUUCUCCGCUUCUCAAAUACAUAAAGCAUUAGUCUUUAUAUAGUGUUUCUCGAGUAAAAAGAACGCCGAACUUUUACACAAAAAAAAACAACAACAAAAAACAGUUCUUUAUUUACCUUUGGGUUGCAGACAAACAGAUGAUUCAAGUUGCAUGCGACGCUUUCACUCGCGAUAGAGGCGGGGUGGGGUUAUGAAGUUUGACGGUUUUAGAAGCCAAUAGAGUUACGAGGUUUAGUCACAAGCCCUUUUAAAACUCUUCAUUGGUUAAAUAUUUGCAAAACCCACAGACAAGAUGUAAAGGGUGACCAACAUAGACUGGGUGACCAACAACAGUAAUGAUUUAUGGGGGGAUGGGGGACAAAUGUCACUAUCUGCCCGACAGUGAUAUUUUAAAUGUAUUCAUUUAUAAAGGAAUUGUCUUAGAGUCCUAGCAUUAGAGCGAAAUAAUACAUUUUGUAAAACUGCAAUUAUUAUUAUUUCUCCUCAUUGUAAUUUUAGGCACGUGGCUAGAAUGCCUGUAAAUCCAGCCCUGGUCACAGAUGAGCUUCUGGCAGGAGUGACAGCAAAGCAGGCAAGCGUUAUGUCCUCUGAGCCUUUGAUAAUUUGAUUAAUUCGUUAAAAUGAACUUGAUUCUCUCGUCAAGCGCCGCUCUGUUGUUCUCGUAUAUUUGCAUAGCCACUUUGUAGCGCACGGUGCACCCGAUUUGUAGUCUGCAGUGUACGAUGUUCUGAAAUAUUCGGUGUCUGAGAUUUUCGGUGACACUGGGCGGAGCUUAUAUGAAUAUUCACGAGUUUCCGGUUUUGUGUUAAAGCGCCACUGAAAAUGUUAGUGCAUGCUCUUCGGCGUACAUUAAAGGUAAUUGACCUAUGUUUUAGUGUUAAACGAAGUCAAGCUUAUAUUCUAACUGUUAUUGAUGCACAAUAUUUUAUAUAUGCUAUACAGUAUAUUGUUAUGUCAUGUCAUACUACUUAAAACGCCAAUAGCGUUUUAAGUAGCCUAUUUUUGUUGUUUCUGCUAUACCUUGAGUCUUUAAAGCAUAUAGCUUUAAAAGUUUGCCGAAAUGUAUGGUAGCAUAAUACUAUUAAUUGUAAACUCCUGUGGUGAAGGCAGCAGUAAACAUUCCUAGUUUGAAGUAGCACUUCUAAUCUGGGUAGACUUGAUUUUUCUAGUGUUAUUUAUAUGUUAUGUUUCCAAAACUUCACACAUGCAUGAAAACAUGUUAUUGUACUUUAAAUAUAGUUUAAUGAUUAUCCAAAUAGGCCAUGAUGAAUUAUGCAUGUGAUAAUAUAAUGUCUAUAGCUAAUAACCUUGAUUCGUUCCCAAAGAAGAUGACUUUUCCCAAUAAAUAUCCCUGUACACCACACAAAGCAGACACUUUAUUUUUUCACUUUGUUUUAAACAUGACAGUGUAUUAAAAAUGUGAUACAGGUUUGUUGUAAUGACAUUUAUUUAUAUAUUUUAGAUUGAAUGUGUCCGUAGCAAAGGCUGGUAUCACUGGAACUGCAUUAGCAGACCAAACUUUCAUUUGUCUGAACUUUAAUCACAAGACCCCUGUGUAAAAUGUGUUAAUGUCUGUUUAAAUACAAGUGUUUUUAAUAA